CGUCAAGCUGCUGAGCCAUCUUCACUGCUGCUGCAAUGGCUGCGCCAGAGCUGCCGCCUGCAGCAGAACAGGCAAUUAGAGGGCAUGGUGAUAAUGCAGCGGUAGCCUUUCACUGCAGCUGUGAGGGCGAGGCCAAUGCCUGCAGACAGGCAGAGGAGGAGGAUUUAUGCAGCUGGCCAGGUUCUAUCAUCAUGCAGAUGAGGUCGACGCACCUGUGUUUCCGGAGGUGGGCUCGAUGAUCGUGUCUCCCGGUUUGAGGAUCCCAGCUAUCUCAGCAUCCUCCACCAUGCGCAGGGCGAUCCUGUCUUUCACGCUGCCUCCUGCGUUGAAGAACUCACACUUGGCCACUGAAAACAGGGACACAUAAGAAAAUACUGUCACUGAGUGUGUUUAAAAUUGAUUUAGAGCCUGAAACCUGAUUAUGUGAUAUAUGCAAAAUGUGUUCUUUAUACUGAAACCACUGUGGAAACACCCAGGAUGAAACUCCAAGUUAACACUGUGAAAAGACUGCUUCCACCCUUUUUGAUUAGUUAAUGUUUCCCAACAUUAUCAGUUUUUUGAUGCGUUAGAUCAUCAGUUUCAGAUCAAUGUAUCAGUGUCUGUUAAUUUAUCAGUCAUGUUAUAAAAUAACAGAGCACAAUUUUGCUUCAUUUAUAUAUUUUUUUGUUCCUGUGGAAGUUUGUGAUUUCUUGGCUCGGUUUGCCUUUCCAUAGAUAAAAUGUGACGGUUCGUAGUAACAGAGGAAUCUUAUAUUAAAUAUUUUUUUUUGUUAUUCUAUAUUUUUUGAAAACUUUGUAUCGGUCUAGCUCACCCUAUGGUAACCUGAGCAGACGGUAGUUUACAGUUAGGUGAGGCUGAGAAGGUAAAGGGUGAGUCAUUGGUCCAUAGAC